GUGGGGAAUAUUGGGCAAUGGGCGAAAGCCUGACCCAGCAACGCCGCGUGAAGGAAGAAGGUCUUCGGAUCGUAAACUUCUAUCCUUGGUGAAGAUAAUGACGGUAGCCGAGAAGGAAGCCCCGGCUAACUACGUGCCAGCAGCCGCGGUAAUACGUAGGGGGCAAGCGUUGUCCGGAAUGAUUGGGCGUAAAGGGCGCGUAGGCGGCCUGGUAAGUCUGGAGUGAAAGUCUGGCUUUUAAGGUGGGAAUUGCUUUGGAUACUGUCGGUCUUGAGUGCAGGAGAGGUAAGUGGAAUUCCCGGUGUAGCGGUGAAAUGCGUAGAGAUCGGGAGGAACACCAGUGGCGAAGGCGACUUACUGGACUGUAACUGACGCUGAGGCGCGAAAGUGUGGGGAGCAAACAGGAUUAGAAACCCCUGUAGUCC
rnacentral:rRNA from 1 species